rnacentral:lncRNA from 8 species
GAUGUCCUGCACCCUAAAGAUGCCCUAAACCAGAGGUACCCAUGGAGGAGGGCACUUUACCUGGCAGGGCUGGCACAGCAUCUUGCCUCUCACAACAUUGGGACCAUGCGCUAUUCAUGUCUCCAUGGCAACCGUCUCCGCCCCGUCCUGUUGCUUACCCCUCCAGACUCCUCCAGUUUCAUCUUGAGGCUCUAACCCUGCCGUCCUCCGGGCUUCUUCAAGCCCAGCCGCAGAGGAACAACAUCCGCACUGACUGAUACACUGGCUUGGAGAGGUCUCGGCCAGAUACGAGUGAGCCGCCCACUCCCCACUACAACAGCUCUGUUCUGGGGGACAUGCUCCCCAGGAACCAUCUGCUGUUCCUGACUGCUGUGAGCUCCCAGUGUACUGCCUUUGCAGAGCGAGUAGCCCUGCUCAAAGUGUGGCUCAGACAGAGGGAACUGGACCAGGCUUGGGCCCCUGCGCCAUCUGCUCCCCAUCUUGUUUCUGGGCUAAAAGUACAUUUGGCUUCCCGGAAGACCAGGCCUUGGGUGGGGCAACAACCUGAGGCCGUCAACUAUUUAUUUAUUUUUUUAUUUUUUUUUGCGCACCCGUGGACGUCUCAUAAGGGGCCGUCCAUUUGCCAUGUGAAAUUUCUCAACCAUAUGGCUAUGUUCAUUCAUGACUAGUAUAGGGAAGCACUCUUAUCAGGCACCUUGACUAACUGUGUGUGUGUGUCAAGGAUGGCUUGGCGUUAAGGAUACAGGUAGCUUGCCACCGGGAGCCUCAGGUCCUGAGGGAGAGUGUGUGUACAGAAGGACUCCUCAUCGUCAGGGAGAACGAGGAGACUCAAGCCCUGGAGAUGGCAACCAUGCACCGGCCUCUACUCACCUGCACGGGCUCCAGCAACUCCACACAUACUUUGGGGCGGUGUGUCGCCUGGCCAAGCGCUGGCUGGGAGCUCUUCAGCGAUGACAUAACAGAGGACACUGCUGACCUGCUGGUGGUGUCCCUCUUCCUGCAGCUGGCCCCCUUCACUCUCCAGGGUCUCCUCAGGUGGGUUUCCUUCGCUUUCUCCUCCUUCGACUGGAGAAACAACCCCCGGUGGUCGACCUCAACAACCAGCUCACCGCUGCUGACUACACUGAGAUCAAGAAUGACUUCAUCGUCUCCAGAGUUUCUGCCUGUCAUAUUCAUUGCCACGCCUAACUCUCACACUGUCAAAGACCGUAAAAAAAAAAAUCCCGUCUGUAUAUUAAAUAGUAUAGUCAAGGCUCUAAAGUGCGACCAUUUUGGUCGCAUAUGCAUCAAAAUAUUUUGCUGUGCUACCUACAUUUGCAAUUUUGGAGCACCAGUGGACCUUCAAGAGAAAUUACUCAGAUAA